rnacentral:rRNA from 1 species
GAUGAACGCUGGCGGCGUGCCUAAUACAUGCAAGUCGAGCGAACGGACGAGAAGCUUGCUUCUCUGAUGUUAGCGGCGGACGGGUGAGUAACACGUGGAUAACCUACCUAUAAGACUGGGAUAACUUCGGGAAACCGGAGCUAAUACCGGAUAAUAUUUUGAACCGCAUGGUUCAAAAGUGAAAGACGGUCUUGCUGUCACUUAUAGAUGGAUCCGCGCUGCAUUAGCUAGUUGGUAAGGUAACGGCUUACCAAGGCAACGAUGCAUAGCCGACCUGAGAGGGUGAUAGGCCACACUGGAACUGAGACACGGUCCAGACUCCUACGGGAGGCAGCAGUAGGGAAUCUUCCGCAAUGGGCGAAAGCCUGACGGAGCAACGCCGCGUGAGUGAUGAAGGUCUUCGGAUCGUAAAACUCUGUUAUUAGGGAAGAACAUAUGUGUAAGUAACUGUGCACAUCUUGACGGUACCUAAUCAGAAAGCCACGACUAACUACGUG